rnacentral:lncRNA from 1 species
AAGAAAUUCAGCUAUAUCUUGCCCUGUGACGUUCAUCGACUAAUGGACAGUGAGGCCAUGAUGAUAAACCAGGCUGUGCUGUCCAACAGAAGGGCUGUGGCCAAACUAACCUUGAACCUGAUGGAGGAUGAUCUGCAGAAAGAGGCCCUCCACCGGCUGAGAUGGGAGGACAAGCUGAAAGACUGGAAACGAAUCAAGGUCCUUGCUGCAGUCAACAGAUUCAAAGAUUUCAUCAACGGUCCAGCCUUAAACGACUCUAAGGACAUCCGGGACACAUUGGACACUUUGCAUAGGUCACAGGCACGGUACAAUACGGAGAGGAUCACUGUCCUGCAGGCAAUCAAGUAAGAGUAUAUUGUUCAAAGAACCUAACCCUCGAAAAAAGGGAUAAGCUUAACCAUAGAUUGUCAUACUAACAAGUGUUUGUUUGUUUGUUUGUUUGUUUGUUUGUUUGUGUUUUGCAGAACCAUGACGCCACCAAAUUGCUCCCAGUCCUUGAUUACAGUGUGGUAUUCCAAUCUAUCUGCAGUCAAUGACAAAAUUGAUUGCGUGCAUAUUGACACAAUGAAAAGAUUGCAAUGCUACUAUGAGCAAAUCUGGCAGAACUGCCUAGAUAAGGUGGAGUGCUUCAAGGAUGAAGUGCACACCUAUGGGUUGCCUGUGGAAGAAAUUCAGGAUGUUGUUGAUACUGAACUACUGUCUUUGGUUGGAAAAUGCCAGAAACAAGUAGAGGAGCAUCUGGAAGUCUUGGAUAGAGCUUUUGAAUGUUUGGCCAAGCGAGC